rnacentral:lncRNA from 1 species
CCCUCCCCAAUCUCUAAGACCUAGCCAAACUACCCCCUUUCUUUUCACAUGAACCCAUCAAAUAUACAUUUGGAGUUAACCUAGGAAUCCCUAGGAAGAGGCAGCCAUUUUCCAUGAGAUUUGGACAAGAAAAAAUAACGCAUCAGACAACUCCUCUGAUUUUUUCAAUUCAACAGCUCGCCGGAAAAGAACCCACUGCAGCUGACCACCCAAAUCCGCUGGACUUCUUCUUUUCCUUGUUACGUGAAGAACCAGAACCCAUCCCCAGCCAUUUUCGUCACACUCACUAAAGAACCAUAAUCCUCCUUCACCACAACAACCAACGAGCCUUGCUUCUAAGCAACCAAGAACAGUCGCCCAAAAUCCACCCUAAGAUGCCAGAAACACGCACACACAAUCAUAAAUAGAAGGAUAGACAAGAUCAAAGGAGACAAUAAAUCGAUGGGGAAAAAUAUAAAAAAAAUUCCAGUUUUCUGCUUCUCAAAUACGGAAAAAUACACUCAGUCUGUGAUUUUUGAUCUUCUCAUGGAGUUGAACUUGAAUUCGAGAUUGGGGUUUUAUCGAGGUUGAUGCCGAUUCGAGUUUCCAUCCACAUUUCGUUACAUUUUGAGCUCAAAACAGUUAUAUAAUCGUCUUUCAACUAUAUUUGAGGUCUAUUAUUCCCUUUCCUUAUUGUUCUUUUACUUAAUAUCAUGGAAUUGAUAACCCCCUUAAUUUGUUGUUG